UACGAAGGGGGCUAGCGUUGUUCGGAAUCACUGGGCGUAAAGGGCGCGUAGGCGGCUUUAGUAAGUCGGGGGUGAAAGGCCUGUGGCUCAACCACAGAAUUGCCUUCGAUACUGUAUGGCUUGAGACCGGGAAGAGGUAAGUGGAACUGCGAGUGUAGCAGUGAAAUGCGUAGAUAUCAGGAGGAAUACCGAUGGCGAAGGCAGGUCUCUGGGCUGAAACUGACGCUCAUGCACGAAAGCGUGGGGAGCAAACAGG
rnacentral:rRNA from 1 species